rnacentral:rRNA from 1 species
GAUGAACGCUGGCGGCGUGCCUAAUACAUGCAAGUCGAGCGAACAGACGAGGAGCUUGCUCCUCUGACGUUAGCGGCGGACGGGUGAGUAACACGUGGAUAACCUACCUAUAAGACUGGGAUAACUUCGGGAAACCGGAGCUAAUACCGGAUAAUAUAUUGAACCGCAUGGUUCAAUAGUGAAAGACGGUUUUGCUGUCACUUAUAGAUGGAUCCGCGCCGCAUUAGCUAGUUGGUAAGGUAACGGCUUACCAAGGCAACGAUGCGUAGCCGACCUGAGAGGGGGAUAGGCCACACUGGAACUGAGACACGGUCCAGACUCCUACGGGAGGCAGCAGUAGGGAAUCUUCCGCAAUGGGCGAAAGCCUGACGGAGCAACGCCGCGUGAGUGAUGAAGGUCUUCGGAUCGUAAAACUCUGUUAUGAGGGAAGAACAAAUGUGUAAGUAACUAUGCACGUCUUGACGGUACCUAAUCAGAAAGCCACGGCUAACUACGUG